UUGAAUAUGUAAUUACUUGUCCGCGGAAAGAAGAGGAUUAACAGACCUUGCCCUAAUUGCUUGUUUUUGUCAAGUUGUUAAGAAGGACUUAAGGCUCCAGAAACAGAGGGUGUAGCCAGACAGAAGGCAGCCGGAGCAGUUCAAAAGUCUUGUAAUCUUUGGCUCCACAGGCCUAUAAAAAUGGAGUGUUGACUGAGUGCAAACAGCCCGCAGCCUGAGAGGCUCAGGUCCCAGGAAAGAUUGAGGCCGCUUGCUCAUUUGAAAAGGCAGGGGGUUUCAUAACGACCCUGACUAACCUGUUAAUGGAUGGUCCAAUGUGAUUUUUCCCCUUCUUCACGAAGGCCAGAUCUGAAGCUGCCUGCCACACAACAAAGCUUUUCCAGGCUCCCAGGUUCCCGGAAUUCAAGACUAAAUGAGGCUUCUUGCAAAGACUCUGCGUGAAAGAAGCAAAUUAGGAAUUUGAAGGGGUGAUGAUGAAGUAUACUCUCGUUUCCCGGUGUCCCUCUUGAGAUGAAGCACAGAAGGGCCUGUUCAACUCCACUGUUGGAUGUCACAGAACUAUCUAAGAGGUCCCUGGCAACCAGUCCUAAGCAGGAACUGGGUUGAAUUCCUAAGUUAUAGUAAGUAAAUUUAUGAUGUUAACACUUUUGCAAAAAACGAAUGUGUUGUUGUUCACCAAAUACAAUAUUUUGGGAGGGGGCGGAGCAUCAUCUACAUUUUUGUUAUGUACAGCUUCCUCAAGUCAGCACCAAAUAGCCCAAGCAGUUUAAAUAUACCCCUUACCAUGAUGCUCUUUUUUGUGUCUGACUGAUGAAUCUAAGAGCCUUUUGAAGUAGCGAACGUCUCGUGUGCCUUCCCCACCCCAAGCUUCCUCCCUCUCAUGGGUUACAUGCGACAUUCUUCAGCAUGAAGCCAAUCUGACACGUCUUGAUAAAAUACCAUGAAGAUCACAUAACAAUCUGUUAUUCCGUGUAACGGAGUCAACUGAAGUCCAUAGAGAGGCAGAAGGAGGGGAGGAACCGCAAAAAUAAUUUUCAGCUCCCAUUGUCUUUUCAGUAGACUACCCCAAAGCAGUGUUUCUCCAUUUGUCCUGCCCUGAGCCAAGCAGAGUCCGUAAGGGAUCCACCUGCGUGGAGCUUCCAGCAGUGAGGUUUACCUCUGAGCUGCUAUAGUGGCCCCACCUGCAUUACUUGUGAUCCUUCCCUGUCAACCAUCCUGCUUUCCACCCUUCCCUGAUUUACACACCAGCGAAACAAUGUGGACAUAUCGUCUGUCCCCAAAAUGAUGUUUUUUUUUCAGGUACUCCAGGCUUAAAGCAAACAUCACAACGUGAUCAUCAAUUCUCCAUCAAGGCAACAUUAUCUAUCUCAGCCUCCUGCAUGGGAUACCGUGCUGAGACGGUACACUGAGCCAUGGGUAACAAUGUGGGAUGGUAGAAGGUGAAAAAAAAAAUGAAGUAUGGUCGCUGUAAUCAUCAAUCCUAAAGGACUAUGUAAGAGCAUUAUUAUACAACUAACCUGCUUUAAGGAUUCUUCUACUGUAUGCAUCCCUUGACUGACAGUGACAGCUUAGUCACUGGAAUUACCAGCUAUCUCUUUUGUUAUUUUUAUGGCUGUAUACAGCAUUAAAUCUCCCUAUUACAUUUCCCUAAGAGCCUUGGUUUUGUAUUUUUAAAGCAUGAGCUUUCAAUUGCCUUUACACUAUCCAUAGAAAAUCCCUUCUAUGUGUCACACCCUUGUACUUCUGCCUCCCUCUCCCUUUAAAGGAAAUAAAUGAGGACACAUACUUCCCAGAUAGCUCAGGUUCGUUGUUGUUGACGGUUAGCUGGUAAUGUACCUAAACUGCUCAAUUUCAACCUCAGUGUGAGUGGGAACUCCUCUAUUCAUUUCAUCAAAUUACGGCCUGUUGCCCUCUCUUACAAGUACAAUCUGUUGCGGACUGGCUCCCCAGUCACCAGGGCGCACACUGUGUGUAGACAUAGAUUCAUUACACUGACAGUGAAAAGAAGAAAGAACCUGACAUUUGCUGAGCAUGUGCUGCCUCCCAUGAGCACUGCAAGGCAUUUCCCCCUUGCUUUUAGCUUUCUAGAACCCUAUGCAGUAGAUAUAAAUCCUCCCUUAUAUGCAGAGAACUCAAGUGACCGACAGUACAGGGCAAAGACAGUAUUUAAACUCAUCUAUGCCCAGAUACACAGCCCUAGCUCUUUACCCGGUACUUUGCAGCCAUGGAUAUCUCCCACAUUUAGGGUUGUAAUUCCAGUAUUUUACUUUUGUUUGUUUUCAACUUUUAUUCCUUAUCAAAUCAGUUCCUUCCGCCUCAUCUUCUCUAUCCCACAUCCUACCCUGCCAUCCUUGAAGAGGUACGAUGCCUUCUGUUUUACUGUUGUGUGCCUUGGUGACUACUAAUUCUGAACAAUAAUAUAUUUCUUUGAAUUUUAAUAAAAAUAUUGUUAUGCUUUGAAUUUGAUGUGGCCCUUAGAGACUUAAGGGUUAAAGACUGGCAGACAGCUGAUGGGUUUUGGGGAAGUGGCUGAUUGGGUCAUAAGGAACCUAACGUAAGUAGUGUUUGAACUGAUUGCUGAAAUCAAAGUUGAUUAUUGCAAAGGGUGGGAGCUGAGGGCUGGUUCUGUCUGUGCUGCUGAGGGGCCUUUGAAGUGUGCCUGCCCCUGAACUCUUCCUCUGCCUAUUUUCUCUGUUCAUCCCAACCAUAUGAGGCAAGCAGACAUUCUUCCUACUCAGAUAUUCUGGCCUCACCCAGCAAUGGAGGCAGCCUAACAGACUAAAACAGUGGAUCUCAAUCUGUGGCUCCUGACUUCUUUUGGGUGGUUGCCUAUCAGAUAUCCUGCUUAUCAGAUAGUGACAUCAUGAUUCAUAGCAGUAGCAAAUUACAGUUAUAAAGUAGCAAGGAAAAUAAUGUUGUGGUUUGGGGGUGAGGGGGGGAUCAGCACAACAUGAGGAACUGUAUUAAAGGGUUGCAGCAUCAGAAAUGUGGACUAAAGCAUAUGAAACCAUGAGCCAAAAUAAAGCUUUAUUUUCUUUUUUUCUUUUCUUUUUUUUUUCUUUUUCUUUUCUUUCAGGUGCUGUUCUUGUGUGCUCUGUCUCUGCGGCAUAAAGUCUGACCAAUGCAGGAGCCAUAAUGAUUC
ensembl:lincRNA